rnacentral:rRNA from 1 species
AUGGCGGACGCCGAGACUCUGGACGACUUCGCCGGCAGGCUCGGUGGGAUGGCGGCGCGCUACGCCGCGCUGGGUUCAACCCUGGAGGACGCCGCCCUCGUCAAGAAGCUGCUUGACUCGGUGCCGAACCGCCUGUACCCGGCGGUGGCUGGGAUCGAGCAGUUCUGUGACGUUGACGCCAUGGCGUUCGAGGACGCGCUAGGGCGGCUGAAAGCCUUCGACGAGAGGCUGCGUCGACGCGGACAGGACGGGGGCAACCACAGUGGCGAGCAGCUGAUGUUCACGGCGGCGCAGUGGCGGGCGCGCGAGCGGCGUUGA